GUUUUGAGUAUUGGAGGCGGUGUUAAUGGUUUCACUCUAGAUCCAUCUCUUGGAGUGUAUAUUUUAACUCAUCCAGACAUCAAGGGAUCGAGUCGAUUGGAAGAAAGUCAACACGGCCUUAAUUAAGGUUUGUAAUGCAUGAUCUAAAGGGAGCUAAGUGGCCGGAUUAGAGAAAUUUGUUAGACUAGCUCUCUAGCCUUUUGUCUUUAUUUGUUAAUAUUAGUUUUAAUUUGUUAGACUAGCUAGCUAGGUGUUUAAAAAUUGUAAACGUACGUACUAUACGCUUUUCUCUAUUGGGUUAAUAUAAAUGAAGUUAAUUUAAUGAUUUAUUAAUAAAAAAUAAGCAGAUUCAUACC